UGGGGAAUAUUGGACAAUGGGCGCAAGCCUGAUCCAGCCAUGCCGCGUGAGUGAUGAAGGCCUUAGGGUUGUAAAGCUCUUUCGCCGGUGAAGAUAAUGACGGUAACCGGAGAAGAAGCCCCGGCUAACUUCGUGCCAGCAGCCGCGGUAAUACGAAGGGGGCUAGCGUUGCUCGGAAUCACUGGGCGUAAAGCGCACGUAGGCGGAUCGUUAAGUCAGGGGUGAAAUCCUGGAGCUCAACUCCAGAACUGCCCUUGAUACUGGCGAUCUCGAGUUCGAGAGAGGUUGGUGGAACUCCGAGUGUAGAGGUGAAAUUCGUAGAUAUUCGGAAGAACACCAGUGGCGAAGGCGGCCAACUGGCUCGAUACU
rnacentral:rRNA from 1 species